GGUGGCAAUCCUGUAAUUAUGGUGAGAAUUGUGUAACUCGCAGUACUAUCAUGAUCUCACUCAUCUCUCUCACGCACUGCUCACUCGAUUUCUCUCACUUCUCACUCGAACCCUAGCGGCCAUAUCUCUCUCACGAUCGAUCUCGUCUUCUCUCUCACUAAUCUCACUCGAACUCGGCGGCGUCAUCUCUCUCACCGACCUCACGUACUCGCUCAUCUUUGUCGUCUCUCUGUCUCACUGAAACACGAAUUGAUGGCUGAAUCGGAAAUUCCAAAACCCAGUGAAACAUGAAUUGAAGGUUGAAGCACUCAUAUCUGUCUUCUCUCUCGUUUCAUCUUCUCUAGCCCUAAACCCAGAGAAAAGAAAGCAUACAAGAGUUUUCGCACACGAAGAAAGCUACCUGAGUAUGCAAUUCUUCUUGAACAAAUCUGGUGGAAGCUUUUAGAUUUUGUUGAACUAAAGCAGCUCGAUACCUUUCUUUGACAUUGAGAAACAUGAAACUAUGAUUUUGCGUUGGUCUAUAGCUAGGACAAUAGCUACUAAGGACCAGUUGCAGCAAACAGAAGUGGAUUGUGCGUAUUUGAAUAGAUGUUGUGAGAUACUGACAGAAGAGACUAAGAGUUUACAUAAAGAACUUCAAAUUUGGAGCAGUUUCUCUCCGGUUCAUUUUGUUAUUGUACUAGUAAGCAUUCUGCUUAGUUGAAUGAUUGAAGAAGGGAUCCAGACUAUGAGAAACAAUUGGGAUAUUGAUGGAAGCAAUUUGUUGGAUAUCUAUGCAGGUAUGUAGUGUAGGUUCUGAUAUUCAAAAAAAAAAGAUGUAGUGCAGAUUCUGGCCACAACCUAUCAUAUAAACAUGAUCCAAUUAUGUAUUGUAUGUUUUGUUAUUAAAAUUAUUUUAGCCUCUGAUGUGACUUUUAUUUUUGUUGGACUGCUUUGAUAUCCAUGUGUGAUGUCUUUCCAUCUGCUGACCGUGAUAAUUUUUGCUCUCGGACAACGCUUUGGUGGUGGUCCUCUUGAUCUAAUCUCCGGAUUCACCGUCAUCAUCAAUGUUAGUCCAUUGUGAGUCUUGAAUAAGAUUGAGAUGGUUCUCUUUUCUAACACAGUCUUGAAUAAAUAUCACUUUGUAUUAAUUUCAUGUCCUGUUGGUAACUUAAUUUAACAUGUUAGCUAUUACCAUGUUCUUGAUGUCACAUGUAGGGAGUUAUUAUGCAUGUAUAAAUAUUCAAUAUGAAUGUAUUUAUUUUGCAAUAAUACUUGAUCAUUAUCCCUUACAUUCCAAUAAUACAAUUUAUGCUUUUGAAAGUGAACUAAAAUUUCACUUUGACUUGAUUACAUUUGUGUUUUAACUCAUUUGAUUGAAGUAUUGAAUUUGUAGAGUAUAGAGAAGUAUAGUUAAAAAUAACAUGAUCCAGUCAUUGACUAAGCAUCUCUUCAACAAGGUUUGUCUUCUAAGUUUACUCUGGUAUAAUCAGCCACCAUGACUCUUUUUUUCAGGAUUUUUAAACCUUGUUGAAGGAGAAAGACAAAUUCAAACCUGGAUGUUUUCAAGAAGGAGAAAGACAAAUUCAAACCUGGAUCUAAGGUAGAAGAAAAUUAAGGGUUGUUUAAGAACAAGUGGAGUGGCAGCAAAAGCUGCGUUUCUGUUACUGAACAGCUCG